UUGAAGGAAAGUAGCGCCAGUCGCCCGCGGUACACCGUACGCGUGAGGGCUGUCCGCGUCGUCUUUCUUCACGGUGUAUAAACACUGCCAUUCGUUUUACUCACAACUGUCACAACCGAUUAAGUGUGAUCGUGAACGUGACCGGUAUUCACGAUAAUCCGGCUCACAGCGAAGAAGCAUCGAACGGAAGAAUCAACGGCGACUGAUUGAAAAAAGAAAUCAAGAUAAAUUGAAAGGAAGAAAUCACGCGUCAAAGAUUACCUAAGAUAAAUUCGACGAGGUGUAAAGAAACAAAUAAAGAGAAGAAAAGAGAAGUCACUCGCGAGAACCACGUGUUUUCAUCGGAAUAUACAUCGAAAACUUGAACCAGGAUUCUUCGACUAUCUUCAAACUAACUUAGGAUUACAGAAACGACGAAUCAUCAUGAUACAUCGUGGAAACGUACGACUGAUACGUUGCAACAAACCGGAAAUGUACCACGAUUCUUUUACGAUAAUUCAACUGUCUUAUCGAUCGCCGAUUUGAAAAGUCGGCGGAUGGACGUGGUAGCGGCUGGAAAGUCCGAACACGGAGGAAAGUACGAACCUGGAAUCCGUCGUCAUCGGCGGCGACGUCGAAGAAAGGCCAAGUUGACGAAAGUCGGCAGAUUUUCACGGAGGAAGAAGAAGAGCGCGAACUCGUUAUUGAAUCAAGAGAGGUAGAGGCGAAUCGUGGUGAUAGAUAUUGAGUAAAUCGUGCUUCUUCUAA